GGUUGAUCCUGCCAGUAGUCAUAUGCUUGUCUCAAAGAUUAAGCCAUGCAUGUCUAAGUACAGGCUUUGGUACAGCGAAACCGCGAAUGGCUCAUUAAAUCAGCUAUAAUUUAUUAGAUUGUUCCUUACUUGGAUAACUGUGGGAAUUCUAGAGCUAAUACAUGCACAAAAGCUCCGACCUUCGGGAAGGAGUGCAGUUAUCAGACCAAAACCAGCCGAGCUUCGGCUCGAACUGUUUGGUGACUCUGGAUAACGAUGAGCGGAUCGCAUGGCCUUGAGCCGGCGACGUAUCUUUCAAGUGUCUGACCUAUCAACUGACGAUGGUACGCGAUAUGCCUACCAUGGUGAUAACGGGUAACGGAGAAUAAGGGUUCGACUCCGGAGAGGGAGCCUGAGAAAUGGCUACCACAUCCAAGGAUGGCAGCAGGCGCGCAAAUUACCCACUCUCAGUACGAGGAGGUAGUGACGAAAAAUAACAAUGCGGGACUCAUCAGAGGCCUCGCAAUUGGAAUGAGCGCACUUUAAAUCGUUCGACGAGGAUCUAUUGGAGGGCAAGUCUGGUGCCAGCAGCCGCGGUAAUUCCAGCUCCAAUAGCGUAUAUUAAAGUUGUUGCAGUUAAAAAGCUCGUAGUUGGAUCUGGGGUUCGGGUCGGCGGUUUGCCGCUUCGGCGGCUACUGCCGUGCUCGACUCUUACUAGCCGGUGCGUCUUGCGGUGCUCUUCAUCGAGUGCCGUAGGAGCCUGGCAUGUUUACUUUGAAAAAAUUAGAGUGCUCAAAGCAGGCGAUUCCGCCUGAAUAGUGUUGCAUGGAAUAAUGGAAUAGGACCUCGGUUCUAUUUUGUUGGUUUUCGGAACUUGAGGUAAUGAUUAAGAGGGACGGUCGGGGGCAUUCGUAUUUCGGUGUUAGAGGUGAAAUUCUUGGAUCGCUGAAAGACGGACAAAUGCGAAAGCAUCUGCCAAGAACGUCUCCAUUAAUCAAGAACGAAAGUCAGAGGUUCGAAGACGAUCAGACACCGUCCUAGUUCUGACCAUAAACGAUGCCAACUAGCGAUCCGCAGUGGUUGCUAUAAACGGACUCUGCGAGCAGCUUCCGGGAAACCAAAGUGUUUGGGUUCCGGGGGAAGUAUGGUUGCAAAGCUGAAACUUAAAGGAAUUGACGGAAGGGCACCACCAGGAGUGGAGCCUGCGGCUUAAUUUGACCCAACACGGGGAAACUCACCCGGUCCGGACACUGUAAGGGUUGACAGAUCGAGAGCUCUUUCUUGAUUCGGUGGAUGGUGGUGCAUGGCCGUUCUUAGUUGGUGGAGUGAUUUGUCUGGUUAAUUCCGAUAACGAACGAGACUCUAGCCUGCUAACUAGUUGCGCCGUGUUCAUAC
rnacentral:rRNA from 1 species